GAAUAUUGGACAAUGGGCGAAAGCCUGAUCCGGCCAUGCCGCGUGUGUGAAGAAGGUCUUCGGAUUGUAAAGCACUUUAAGUUGGGAGGAAGGGCAGUGAGCGAAUACCUUGCUGUUUUGCCGUUACCGACAGAAUAAGCACCGGCUAACCCCGUGCCAGCCGCCGCGGUAAGACAGAGGGUGCAAGCGGUAAUCGGAAUUACGGGGCGUAAAGCGCGCGUAGGUGGUUCGUUAAGUUGGAUGUGAAAUCCCCGGGCUCAAACUGGGAACCGCAUCCAAAACUGGCGAGCUAGGGUAGGGCAGAGGGUGGUGGAAUUUCCUGUGUAGCGGUGAAAUGCGUAGAUAUAGGAAGGAACACCAGUGGCGAAGGCGACCACCUGGGCUCAUACUGACACUGAGGUGCGAAAGCGUGGGGAGCAAACAG
rnacentral:rRNA from 1 species